AAAGUGCGACAAGUGUCAUGACUUGCAGUUCCCGAGAGCUGACAAAUCUCUGAAUGCAAAUUGCAACCAGAUGACCUGGUUAUGUAUUGCAGAGUGUAUAUCGCUUAUGCAAAGCAUCCUACAACACACAAGUUACUUGUGCGCUUGAAGGGACAUGCGAUUGCGCGAUUUGGCUUAGCCGCUGCCGCAAUCGUGAAGUAUAGGAAACCCGUCACGGGUUUACCUUGGAAGAACUGCAUACCCACGUAUGCAGGAGGACCAUCCGUGACUUACCGUCUCUUUUCAUACCUCUGCAAUGCAGGAGAACCCGCUGAACUUAA
rnacentral:misc_RNA from 1 species